UAAAUACUCCCUCCGUCCCAAAAUAAGUGUCUUGAGCUUAGUACAAAUUUGUAUUAGAGCUAGUACAAAGUUAAGACACUUAUUUUGGGACGGAGGGAGUAUUUG
rnacentral:pre_miRNA from 1 species